CAUGCAAGUCGAGGGGCAGCACAGGUAGCAAUACCGGGUGGCGACCGGCGCACGGGUGAGUAACGCGUAUGCAACUUGCCUAUCAGAGGGGGAUAACCCGGCGAAAGUCGGACUAAUACCGCAUGAAGCAGGGAUCCCGCAUGGGAAUAUUUGCUAAAGAUUCAUCGCUGAUAGAUAGGCAUGCGUUCCAUUAGGCAGUUGGCGGGGUAACGGCCCACCAAACCGACGAUGGAUAGGGGUUCUGAGAGGAAGGUCCCCCACAUUGGUACUGAGACACGGACCAAACUCCUACGGGAGGCAGCAGUGAGGAAUAUUGGUCAAUGGCCGAGAGGCUGAACCAGCCAAGUCGCGUGAGGGAUGAAGGUUCUAUGGAUCGUAAACCUCUUUUAUAAGGGAAUAAAGUGCGGGACGUGUCCCGUUUUGUAUGUACCUUAUGAAUAAGGAUCGGCUAACUCCGUGCCAGCAGCCGCGGUAAUACGGAGGAUCCGAGCGUUAUCCGGAUUUAUUGGGUUUAAAGGGUGCGUAGGCGGCCUUUUAAGUCAGCGGUGAAAGUCUGUGGCUCAACCAUAGAAUUGCCGUUGAAACUGGGGGGCUUGAGUAUGUUUGAGGCAGGCGGAAUGCGUGGUGUAGCGGUGAAAUGCAUAGAUAUCACGCAGAACCCCGAUUGCGAAGGCAGCCUGCCAAGCCAU
rnacentral:rRNA from 1 species